rnacentral:rRNA from 1 species
AUUGAACGCUGGCGGCAUGCCUUACACAUGCAAGUCGAACGGUAACAGGUUAAGCUGACGAGUGUCGAACGGGUGAGUAAUGUAUCGGAACGUGCCCAGUCGUGGGGGAUAACUGCUCAAGAGAGCAGCUGAUACCGCAUACGACCUGCGGCUGAAAGCGGGGAAUGGCAAGACCUCGCACGAUUCGAUCGCCCGUUAUCAGAUUAGGUAGUUGCUGGGGUAAAGGCCCACCAAGCCGACGAUCUGUAGCGGGUCUGAGAGGACGAUCAGUAACACUGGAACGGAGACACGGUCCAGACUCCUACGGGAGGCAGCAGUGGGGAAUAUUGGACAAGGGGCGAAAGCCGGAUCCAGCCAGGCCGCGUGUGUGAAGAAGGUCUUCGGAUUGUAAAGCACUUUAAGAUGGAAGAAAGGGCAGUAAGUUAAUACCUUGCUGUUUGGACGUUACCAAAAGAAUAAGCACCGGCUAACUUCGU